UCGCACGGAGUACGCAAGUGG
rnacentral:misc_RNA from 1 species